rfam:Rhizophagus irregularis DAOM 197198w jcf7180003193035, whole genome shotgun sequence.
GCUUCGAUAGUGUAGUGGUUAUCACGUAAGCUUUACACGCUUAAUGUCCUCGGUUCGAACCCGAGUCGAAGCA